CUCAAGUGAUAGAUGGUGUCUUAGUUUGCUCUCGGUUGUUACAAGGAAAUACCUGAGGCCAGGUAAUUUAUAAAGUGUGGAAGUUUAUUUGGCUCACAGUUCUGGAGGCUGGAAAUCCAAGAGCAUGGAUCAGACAUCUGCUCGGCAUCUGGUGGGGACUUCAGUCCACAUUCCCACAUGGCAGAGCGCAGUGUGUAGGAGACAGAGUAGGUAUGCUAGCUCAGGUCUCCUGAUCUUAAAGGCCACUAACAUCCCACCCUUAUGAACUCAUCUAAUCCAUAUGACCUCCUCAGGGCUCACCUCCAUACACCAUUAACGUGUGAAUUUGGGGAUUAAGUUCCUGACAAAUGAACUUUUGGGGAACUCAUACAGCAGGCAGACAGGAAGCCCAAGCUAUAGAAGAUGGACAGGAAGUCCGAGCCUUGAGUGGUCCAAGGUCAGGGUUUCUAGGAUCUGGAGCGAAAGUCAGCCAACCUGCCCCGUACCUUGCCCUGGCUGGGUGAGUGGCACCUCCUUAAAGUUCUGACCCUGGGCAAUGCCCUUCUUCACAGAGGAACAAAGAAUGCAUGCCAGGUUGAAGCCCUUGCUUGUCAAAGGAGGAAAGCACUCUCCAGGGACUCCCAGCUGGAUUUUGUCAUCCAUGUGUAGUUUUCUUGGUGCUUUCUGACCAUUUGGGCCUUGUGUGCUUGCAAUUGGUGGUUUGCGCUGUCUCCAUCGAGGCCUCUCUGAUGUGAGGGAAGGAAGAACAUUGCUCUCCCCUCUAGGGAAAGGGGGAACCCCAACACCGGGAGCCUGGUGCGGCAUUUUCUCCAUUUCCACUGACCUGCUGGUAAGUGCGGGGC
rnacentral:lncRNA from 1 species